CCAAAACUUGAAGUUCCUCAAGCAUCUAGUACGUGUUUGAAACAUAGGAAAGCCACACGUCAAUUUUGAAGUCAUUAUCUUCAUCUUCAUCAGCAUAUUCAUCAGUUUUAUUCCUUUCUUUGCUAAGUAACUGAAAGCUUGGAUAAAGGACUUGCAUAAACUAGGUGACACAGGUCAGAUACCUUAUGUUAAAAGCCUCUUUGAG
rnacentral:misc_RNA from 1 species